rnacentral:misc_RNA from 1 species
AAGUCGUAACAAGGUAUCCGUAGGUGAACCUGCGGAUGGAUCAUUAGAAAGUGCGAGGUGCUUCGGCACCGACCACCCACUCUGUGCACUGUAACGUACCCUGCGGUCGAGGGCUUAGGCUCGAGGCCGCGCUGGGCUGUUCCUUACGGGACGGCCGAACAAACACAUCAACCAACGUCUGAAGCUAAAGAAACAAUGUUAAACAACUUUUGACAACGGAUCUCUUGGCUCUC